AUUAUCAGAUCCUUUCCUGCUGUCUCAUUGUUAAACGGUGCAUGGUAACAAGACACACCUGGUUCCACAGUCAGCACACCUAGUGAGCUGAUAACAAACCUAACAGGCCAGGUUUGUGGCCUGUGGAGUUAACAGGAGGUAUAGUUAGCAUAAGCCUUGUGGCCUGUAGUUAGUGAUGAUGGUACUAUUUCUCUGAGUUGUUGGGUACAAAGAUCCAGUUAGAGGUGGUUAUCUCUAGCAGACACUAUGACUCCUGUGUGAAAACUUUGAUUUCACCUGCUGAAGAAAGGAUGUCAGCCUGAGCAUCAUCAUAUUUACUUUAACUAGGGCACAACUAGUCAAGCAGUUUCAACAUUGUUUAACCAUGCUGCAGUUCCUCCGAGUAGCAUUUUGUUUGCUGCAUUUUGCCACAUUUCUCUGCCUGAUGCUAAUUUACACAUGCUUGAGAGUCACAGCCUACCUUUCAAGGAGUUUGGCCGUACCACAAUUUAUAAACUCAUCAUGCUUAUGAAGAGUGGAAAUUUCCUGAAACUUAUAUCUAUCUAUGUGGCCUGUGCUUUUGACUGAUUUUACUGUUAGACUGAUACCUAUUUUAAGAACAAAUAAAAUUUAUGGCAAUUUACACUUUUAGCACAAAUACCAAACUUUUGGUAAAAUACAGAAGUAGAAAAAAAAUAUCGGAUGAACAUCCACACACAAAGAAAAAAAUCAAAAUUCUGGGAAGAUCACUCUCUUUAUUUCUCCCUCAAGUUAAAGUUAGUCCAUUAGGAUAGUUUUCAAUUUAAAAAAAAAAAAAAAAAGAAUUCAAAGGAGACUUUUGGAAGCUUUUCCCCGUUUGUUUUCUGAAAUGGCUGGAAUUACUAGAAUUGUCCCAAUCAAGCUGUUAAAAAGAAUGAUGAGGUAUGGUCACCCACUCAGAUUUUGUUAAAAAAGUCUAACUGGAGCCCUCUAAGAUGAAAUGGCCUUUUGUAAUGAACUCAGCAUCCACUGCCUGUUAAU